AGUGAACGCUGGCGGCAGGCCUAAUACAUGCAAGUCGAACGGCAGCACGGCAGAGCUUGCUCUGUGGGUGGCGAGUGGCGGACGGGUGAGGAAUACAUGGGAAUCUGCCCAGUCGUGGGGGAUAACGUAGGGAAACUUACGCUAAUACCGCAUGCGCCCUUCGGGGAAAGCCGGGGACCUUCGGGCCUGGCGCGAUUGGAUGAGCCCAUGUCGGAUUAGCUAGUUGGCGGGGUAAUGGCCCACCAAGGCGACGAUCCGUAGCUGGUCUGAGAGGAUGAUCAGCCACACUGGAACUGAGACACGGUCCAGACUCCUACGGGAGGCAGCAGUAGGGAAUAUUGGACAAUGGGCGCAAGCCUGAUCCAGCCAUGCCGCGUGAGUGAAGAAGGCCCUCGGGUUGUAAAGCUCUUUUGUCCGGAAAGAAAAGCGCCGGGUUAAUACCCUGGUGUCCUGACGGUACCGGAAGAAUAAGCACCGGCUAACCUUCGUGCCAGCAGCCG
rnacentral:rRNA from 1 species